rnacentral:rRNA from 1 species
AACGUAGGACACAAGCGUUAUCCGGAGUUACUGGGCGUAAAGGGCGUGUAGGUGGUUUCGUAAGUCUGGCGUGAAAUUUCUCGGCUUAACCGAGGCAGGUCGUCGGAUACUGCGGAACUUGAGGACGGUAGAGGCGUGUGGAAUUCCGGGUGUAGUGGUGAAAUGCGUAGAGAUCCGGAGGAACACCAGUGGCGAAGGCGACACGCUGGGCCGUACCUGACACUGAUGCGCGACAGCAUGGGGAGCAAACAGG